UUAAGGAAGUACAAGUCGUAACAAGGUCUCCGUUGGUGAACCAGCGGAGGGAUCAUUA
rnacentral:rRNA from 1 species